GACUCGAGCGAAGCGAGAGAACGUUGCCGCAGGCAAUGGCCC
rnacentral:sRNA from 1 species